AACACCCCACUACUCUCCUCACUGUGGACUGUCUGUUCUAUGAGCGCAAGCUCCUGGAGUGUACCCGCAAUGAGAUUGCGUGUAUGACUCCAGAGUUUCUGGGAAUUCCCCUUUCACAGGGACAUACCUCACAAGGCUUCAAAUACCAGCUCAUCAAAUUGUUGGAAGGGAGCUCUUGGACUUGGAUUGCUUGUGGUGUGGGGUCGGUUGCUGUCGGCCUGCUCGUCUUUUUUUUGAUCUACUUUAUGAUAAAACUGAAGUAGGAAGAUCUGCAAAGGCCAUCACAUGGCCCUUGAUCACACUCAAUGUGCUGUGUAAUGCAUGUGUAAUCAUCUGCAAUAAGUCAAAAACAAAAUUAUUUAGUUACUUGUAGUAUUGUUGAGAAAGCUUUUGGGCAGAAGCUUUAGAUCACUAAUAUUUUAAAAGAUAUAUAAAAGAUAAAAGAAAAACAGAUGCAUUAAGUGACUGGAUUUGAAAAAAGAAAAAAAGAAAAAAAGAAAUCCUUCCAUAAGAGAUUUUAAUGGAAGUGAUUCUUUUAUUAAGAUGUAAGGGUAACUUCACACGUUAGUAACAGGUACUUUUUAUAUAUAAUCUGUCAAAUUUUAAUUGCUGCUGCUUUGCUUUUCAUUAAAAUAUCAAAGUUUUUCCUUCAUAAAGAACCAAUCAAAAUGAUAAUAACGAC